GAUGAACGCUGGCGGCGUGCCUAAUACAUGCAAGUCGAGCGAACAGACGAGGAGCUUGCUCCUCUGACGUUAGCGGCGGACGGGUGAGUAACACGUGGAUAACCUACCUAUAAGACUGGGAUAACUUCGGGAAACCGGAGCUAAUACCGGAUAACAUGUUGAACCGCAUGGUUUAACAGUGAAAGACGGUCUUGCUGUCACUUAUAGAUGGAUCCGCGCCGCAUUAGCUAGUUGGUAAGGUAACGGCUUACCAAGGCAACGAUGCGUAGCCGACCUGAGAGGGUGAUCGGCCACACGGGAACUGAGACACGGUCCAGACUCCUACGGGAGGCAGCAGUAGGGAAUCUGCCGCAAUGGGCGAAAGCCUGACGGAGCAACGCCGCGUGAGUGAAGAAGGUCUUCGGAUCGUAAAACUCUGUUAUUAGGGAAGAACAAAUGUGUAAGUAACUAUGCACGUCUUGACGGUACCUAAUCAGAAAGCCACGGCUAACUACGUG
rnacentral:rRNA from 1 species